CACGAUCAGUGGACGUGGGCGGGCGCGCAAUCAGCCACGGCUUAUCGCUGCUGCUCUCGCCUGCUAUAAAUACUCUCAUCACCUAGCACACUGGGAGGUUGGAUCCAUUUUUUGCACUCGCUGCCGGCAUCCAUUCAUCUCCUGCUACUGCUAGUCACAAUACGCGCAUACGAACACACAAGAAAAAGAAGAAGCAGGGAGGCCAGCGAUCGACUUGUCCACGUGAGAAGGUGAGAUAUGAUGAUGGUCUCAUCUCCUUAGUUUCGGCCGCUUGGUUCGGAUCAAGGAGCUCUCUCUUCUCACAUAUGAAAUAUUGUUUUUAGUUUCGGCCGCUUGGUUCGGAUCAAGGAGCUCUCUCUUCUCACAUAUGAAAUAUUGUCGUUAGUUUC
rnacentral:lncRNA from 1 species